rnacentral:rRNA from 2 species
UCCGACCUCAGAUCGGACGAGAUUACCCGCUGAAUUUAAGCAUAUAACUAAGCGGAGGAAAAGAAACUAACAAGGAUUUCCCCAGUAACGGCGAGUGAAGCGGAAAAAGCCCAGCACCGAAUCCCUCAGUGUGACGCUGACGGGAACUGUGGUGUGUGGGACGCCACCAGUCGCAUCAGCGGGCGCCGAAGUCCUCCUGAUCGGGGCUUCACCCAUAGCGGGUGUAAGGCCUUUGCAGGUGCUUCGCUGUGCGGCCGCGAGCGUCCUAGGAGUCGGGUUGUUUGGGAAUGCAGCCCAAAGUGGGUGGUAAACUCCAUCUAA